rnacentral:rRNA from 1 species
AUGACGUCAAGUCAGCAUGGCCUUACUCCGGGGCUACACACGUGCUACAAUGGCCGGUCAAAGGGUUGCGAAGCCGUGAGGUGGAGCGAAUCUCAAAAAGCCGGCCUCAGUUCGGAUUGGAGGCUGCAACUCGCCUCCAUGAAGUCGGAAUCGCUAGUAACCGCAGAUCAGCUACGUUGCGGUGAAUACGUUCCCGGGCCUU